rnacentral:piRNA from 1 species
UGGCAAACAAGUGUGGCAUGGGGAUUGUCUU